rnacentral:lncRNA from 1 species
UUCUCAGAAAACAAUCCACUGCGGUGAUAGACUGAUAGUCGGGGUUCAUUAAUUACCUAUACUUGUUUAUCUGUUUCAGUAUCACAGAAGGCCAUAUGGAAGUGAAACAUUGCCUAGAGGUAUCGUCUCCCAGACCUCUAAUCUGGAAAUGCGGCCAUUAUGGACAGCAUCUAACAAGGUAAGCUUUCCAAUCAAUGUCUGUAUUUGUUUUUGUUAACUGAAAAGUGAAAAUCCUAGUUAUUGAGUCUAGAACAUUUUCUAUCCUUGAAUGUAACUAUUAUGAACAAAAUGAUGAAUUCGACUAUGAUUUUUAUGCUUGUCUCCUCCCAGCCACCUUCAAGGUUAAACCAGAGAAGUGUAAAUUCCUCGGUCAGCUUAUUAGCGAUGGCCGUUGGGAUCAAGCAGAAGGAUCUAGCCAGUAAAAUGGUCAAAAAGGUAUAAAGUAAGUCUGUAAAUGCACUUCUCAGCACUCAGAUGAAAGUUUAUGUGUGUUGUCUUUUGAACCACUACUGGUAUUUAUAAAAACAAUGGCUUCUUAUACAUCAUAUAUAAUGCAGUUUCUGUCAAGUGGUUUUGUUGUCAUGCUUUUUCAUUAUGAUGGCAACGUUGAUGAGUGGAAGCAAUUUCAAUGGAAUGAUCUUGUUAUUCAUGUUUCGGCAGUCGAUCAAACAAAAUGGUACACGUCUUAUCUUCGUGCUUUAUUCAUUUCCUUAGAAGUUGCAUAGAUGAGUUUCCUGAGUGAUAUCUUUCUUGAUGCUUAGGUGGUUUGCAAAGCGUUUCUUACAUCCUGAUAUAGUUGCUGAAUAUAGUUAUGUUUUUCUAUGGGAUGAAGAUCUUGGAGUAGACAGUUUUAAUCCUCAACGGUACUGCAGCUGCAUUUCCUUUUACCAAAGUUAGGAACUUGCUUGCAUUUGAACUGCUGCAUAACUGUAUUGCUGAAACUUUAUGUUGUUCUUCUUCUAUGACACUUUUAGGUAUGUGUCCAUUAUUCGGAAGGAAGGGCUUGAAAUAUCUCAACCGGCACUUGAUUUUUCCAAGUCAGUGGUGAAUCAUCAAAUUACUGCACGUGUGAAAGGAUCAAUAGUGCACAGGUCUGUUAUGUAACUAGCUAAUACUAAUUCAUGACUACGUACAGUCCUGUACUUCUGUUCAUUUCAAGCGGUUGGUGACUCUAGUUACAUGCUUUUGAGAAAUUGUUUCUGCAGAAGGACUUACAAGCCUAAUGCCAAUGGGACUGGUUGCGAUGAAAACAGUACAGCUCCUCCUUGUACCGGGUAGAAAAAAAAAAAAUUCAUUUGAACCAAGUUUUGUAUUUCCUGCAAAAGAAUGAUGGUUUUCUAGUAAUAGAAGUCAUCCUGCUGCUUCAGGAAAGUAUAAUGAAAUGCUGCACUGCAGGUGGAUAGAAGUGAUGGCUCCAGUUUUCUCUCGAGCUGCCUGGCGUUGCGUAUGGUAUAUGAUCCAGGUGCGUUACUUCUACCAUUCCUGGAGCUCGAGAUAGCUCUUCUAAGGGUAACAAAGAUUGGACUUCUUAUUUCCUUGGUUUAAACCAUCAUCGAUCUUAAUUGUAUAUGCAGAAUAAUUUGAUCCAUGCUUGGGGACUAGAUAUGCAGCUUGGCUAUUGUGCACAGGCAAGCUCCUUAAUAUAUCUGUCAUUCAUAAUUUCUUCUACUAUCCAAGUAUUUUGUCUUUCCUCAUCUGUUUCCUAAACAAGGACCUUUAUUUUCCAUACUAAUAGGGUGAUCGAAAGAAGAAUAUUGGUGUCGUAGAUGCGGAGUACCUAAUCCAUUAUGGCCGCCCUACUUUGGGAGGUCCAAACGAUAAUGAGGUGAAAAUUGUGUUAGCCUAGCUUUGUAUUAAGCUGUAAACUUUUAUCUGAGACUGACUUUGAUAUCUUUGUAUUGCAGAAAUCACCUCAAGCUAGUGCAAAGGACCACAGAGUUGAUGUUAGUCUCCAAACAUGAAUGAAUCUCAGGCCACUGUUUUUACAUAAUGUGAUAUGUGUUUAGUUGGACUUAAUCUAAAUUUGUGCAGGUGAGGAGGGAAUCCUACAACGAAAUGAAGAUUUUCAAUCGAAAAUGGGAAAAAGCUGCAAAGAACGAUGAGUGUUGGAUUGAUCCAUACCCUGUUAGCAGUAGCCAUCACUAAGCAGUGAGUUCAGAAAUUGGUGUAUAGUUUGUAGCAUCCGUUCAUACAUGCAUCAUACUAUUCAAAGUCCAAACAUGCAAGUCUCUGAAUGUUCUUGUUCUUGUACUGUUGUACAGGGUGGAAAUGUAAAUUCUAUAGAUUUUAUAUGAGAGAGAAUCAGAAAGAAAUCAACUUCACUUAACUUGUAUACUAAUAGUCCGAUAUAUCUUGUAACAUCGCAUUCAGAUCUCUCUGCCUAGAGACGGACCCAUAGAAGCUACUGCUGUUAAAUUCCAUUCGUUAAUGUAUUGUUUCUUGUGCUUUACUCCUGAACCAUAGAAGCUACUGCUGUCAAAUUGCAUUCGUGAAUGUACUUUUUCUUGUGCUUUACUCUUCAUCAUUUCAAAUUACUUGAAGAGAAUCAGCAUUUUGUGGUGGUAAAAACUAAAACAAAUAACGUACCCCAAUUUUGGAAUCUGUUCAGAACAGCUAUGAUCAUUUUCAUGUAAGUCCUGACAUGAAUCAUCUCUACCAAGCAAUGUUCCAUCCAAAACACAAACACUACCAAGAUUUAGACUUUCAUCUCUAACAUUGUACGGUAAUAAAGUACAUUAAUAGCAUCAAGGAUCUGAUAAACCAAAACCACGUAACAUAGCAAUUUUGGCUCUACCUUUUCCUAAUAGGAUUAGUACUAAGAUUUAGUCCUGGUGUAUCCUUGUCCGGCAGAGAUUACAAUCUCCUAAUCCUUGCAGGAGAAAAAUAGAUUUUUAAUUAGUACCUUAUAUACAUGUCCACUGAUCGAUCGCAGCAGUGGCUCAAUCAUGGAUGAGCCGUAUGAUUCCAGGAUUUUCAAUUGGUGUGAAGUGAAGCAAACAGAAUUACACGAGGGACCCUAUCCGCCACCAUCACAGCGCUACGCCGUGCUCAUCAGAUUAACAGUCAUCUUGCAAUCUGGGGGUUUUCAGAUACAGACGAAACCACCUCAUUCUUUUAUGUACAACUUUUGUCCAGACGUAACUCUCAUAGGGAAAUCAAAGAUUUGGGUCAACUUCAUGUCCGCAGAUGAACGAGGUAAGAGCAUCAUGUACUUGGUGACUGCCCUUCGUCGCAUGGGCCUUCGGUUAAAAGAACUGGCAGAUAUAGUCAAAGAAAUAUCUGACAAAGUUGAACCGCCCAUCCACCUCCCGCAGUUGGCUGUUGAUGUGACCGUAAGGCUUAUCUGUUGUGAACUGCAUGGAAGUUUUGACGGUUACGAUGAUAUGCGCUUGUAUCGCUGGGUGAAGAAAUCAUGGGACGACUCUAGGGCUGCUGCUCCUACCUCUUGCGCUAUGCCUCCAUCAUCAUGUGCUGUUUGUUUGGAGGAGUUUGGAGGUGGUGUUGAUGAUAAAAUGAUUGCUCGUUUGCCUUGCUCGCAUUUUUUUCAUGCUGAUUGCAUUGCACAGUGGGUGGUGGAUCGUCACACGUGUCCAGUGUGCCGAACCCAAAUGAUACCACUUCUGUGUGAUGAUGAAAAUCAACCCUUCGAUCCAAACCCUACCUGGUCCGAGUGACUCGAUAAAUUAUUCGUGUCUUUGUAGUCAAUAAUAUACCAGUCUUUUGUGUUGUUGUUGGCAUAUUGUAAUAUGCUCAAUAUUGCCUUUACUCUUGUAACAUUACUAGGCUAGUGUACUUUUUAUUUAUCUUUUCAUUUGGAAAUACCGUUCAACAUUUUCAUCUCGGUGUAUUACUUUUGAUUUUGUAUUAAUUAAAGAUAUACACACACAUGACCCUUCUAGUGAGGGGUCCCUAUUUUGGACUAUUUGUAAGGAGAGGUCUUUUAGAGAAGUUGGUGUAAUUUCUUAUCCCUAGAAAUAGUCUAAAAUAGGGAUUUCUCACUAAAAGGGGAUGUAUAUUUAGAUGGUAUGGUAUGAACCAUUUUUUAUUUUUGAAAACAAGGUUUAAAACUUUAAAUGUUAACCACCAGGGAUUGUGGGACAGUAGAAUGGUUAGUUUGGAACUCCCCAGAGUUCGAAACUCUAUGAGGCCUUGGUGGCCAGCUGGUGGUGAGGCUAUGUACCUAUUCAUGUUCCUGCCCUAUAUAUGGCAGUGCAGUGAAAUAGUCUGACAAUUGCUAGGAUACCUUGCAUGGGUGUGUGUUACCAAUUUAACUAAGACUAACCUCUCUAAUCCAAAAAUAAUAAUAUAAUUUCAAUGUUUUUUUAGAGUAUCAACGACGGUAUACUUAAAGGUUUUUCAGACCCAGAGACUAAUUCACGCCGAUAGAUCAUGUCAGAACGCUUCCUCUCCUUGGUCACCAAAAAUAAAUUGGGAUUUAACUUUAAUUAACGUCAGCUAGGAUUCGAACAUGGGUAUGGGGGUUCCACACAUAUGCUCUUACCAACUCGAUCACUUGUGGUGGUUAAAAUAAAAUAAAAAAAUUAAAUGUUGGACAUAAACCUUAGGCCAUCUCCAACCAAAAGUGCUAAAAAUAGCACAUGUGCUCAAUUUUAGCACAUAUAUUUGGCACUUUAAUCAAAUACCACUCAACGUCUUCACCCGAUUAGUGCUAAAUUGUAGCAUUUUAAUAUAUUUAUUGUUUUUCAUAUAUUAUUGACAUUUUUUCUUAUUUAAUUAUAAAGAAACAUUCGUCAGGAUAAUAUAUACUUGUGCGUAUGGACUCUCUUAUUUACAAACUUUUACUAAUGCAAAUUAUAAUCUUAAUCGUUCAAAAGUUGAUUAACUAUUAAAGAUCACCUUCUGAACAAAAAAAAAAAAAAAUACAAUGUUAACAAAAUUUGUUUGCUUAGCUGAUUGCAUUAAACAAAUGGACGAUUAAUCAUAAGACUAAGACUGUUAUUAUAAUCUUGCCAAGUCAAAAAGAGGAAUGAAUCUUAGCGUGAGAUUCCUCACGUGAGUAAUUUUUUUUUUAAGCAAAAAGUGUUGCACUUCUCACCCAACAAAUGGAAGGCUGCCACAUUACAUGUGCUAAAGAGUCAUUCGGUGAGUAUUUGGCUAUCGAGAUAACACUUUAGCUAUUGUUUAGCUCUUUGGCACUUUAGCUUAUUGGUUGAGAUGAGAGUACUCACUACUUUGGGUUAUGAUGGCAUUAUAUGCAGAGUGAUAUUUGGAAUGUUGGUGUCCCUUCCGGUGUUGAUCGGCUACUAUGCAGUUUUAGAAUUUGUGCAUUGAUCGAUCCUCCAUCUUCUUUUGACAUGCAUGGUCGACGUUUCAAUCAAUGAAUCGAGAGAGAAAAAAGAAAUGGCUGGCAGAGCCGUCUUAGAGAUUUUGAAGGCCCUGUGCAAAAUUUCAAAAGAGGCCCUGCUCAUAUAAAAAUUGAAGAUGAACAAACUCAAAACAUAAAAUCAAAGUUGGAUCAUUUAUCAAAUAAUAAUACCUCAUUAGUUGAACCUACAAAAGAGGCUAUAUAUUCAAUACAAAAACAAAAGUUUGAGGCAAAAAAUUAUGACAAACAUAUAUAUGCAUGAUCUAAAAGCAACACUGUUGCUGGGUGUUCACUUGAAUAUCAUUCUCCUUGCCUUCUUGGCUGCAAACUCAUCAAUUAGCUUAUCACAAUUGAUUUUUCCAAGAAAAUCAUUCUCAAUAGAAAUCAUAGAAAACCUGUUAGACCAGUGCUCCUUCUCCAAUUUUCAUAAAUUCCAGAAUGGCAGAAUCCAACAACUUUGCCACACGAUCAACCUUUGCAAAUUGAAAACAAAAUCAAACCAUUCAGAAGAUUAAAACAAAUAUCAAUUAAAUUGUACAUUUGUACAUAACAAUUAACAAAUCAAUUAUGAAGAAUCAUACCUGUGUGGGGCUGUGGGCGUGUCCACACUGUGGCUGAUGAGUGAGAUAAAAAUUGAGAGAGAGAGUUAGGUUAGUAGAGAAAGAGACAGAUCGCAAAAAGCCAAAGAAGAAGAUUUGGUUUGGGAGUUUUUGGUCGAUAGGGCCUCUUCUCAAUUAUAUGGGCCUUUUUUUCUAAUGGGUCUUUUUAUAUUAAGUAUAGUUCUUAAUUUUUAUAUAUAAUUAAAAAAUUAUGAAUAUGUGUAUUUUUGUGGCCCUCCUAAUUUUGGGGCCCUGUAUCUGUGCACACUUUGCACCUGUUAUAAGCCGGCUCUGAUGGCUGGUUCUCGAUUUCUUGUUUUACAUUUAUUUUUCUUUGAUUUUAUUUUGGUAUGAAGCUAUUGGUGGCCGGGACUAAUUUCAGUUAGUCUUUGUAGUUCCAAAUCCUUCUGUAAUCUAAUUAUCCUUACAAUCCUAAUCUCAAGAGAUCGAGUCGUUGGUUCUCCUCUGAUUUUAACAUCCGAUCCCGGCGGUUUAAUAUAUAUAUAGCAGCUGCAUGUACUUUAAUUUGUCAUGCGUCAAUGCAAAACUGAGACUUUCAGAACAGUUUCACGUCCGGUACUGUGCAUAAAGGGUGGUUCUGAACUUGUGCUGCAACAUGCACCAUGCACCCUCCCAUCCUCAUUAUAUAAUCACCAGAUCGAACAUUUUUAUAUAAACUUGACGAUCGAUAUUGUGAGAGACGCGUAUGCAGCGCAAUGUCCUAUACGUACGUGUACUAUAUACGACAAAAUUUCGAAGAAGAAGACACAACUGUAUUUAGAUACAGUUGCCCAGCGAUUGGAUCUUGAUGGAGCUUGGCCCUUGUUAUCAUUUUCUCUGGGUUCUGCUCACCUCCAAUACUCGCAGUUUGUUUGUUUGUGAUUUUAUAAGGCUAGCAGUUUACCACUGUCUACUGUUUCAACAUCUCCAGCUUAAUUUGCUUAUAAAUUGAGAGCAUGUACAACUUUUCUGUACAUUGUAACUAGUUGAAGUAUAUAUCUCAACAUUUGUUGAUAUCUUGGAGUUUGUAAUAUAGCAGAGGAAAGCAAUACAAGUAUGGAUGAAAAUGAAGCACCACCAUCAGAAAGCAAAGCACAAAAAGCAAGCAGAAGCUGCAGCAUCACUGAAAUACAGGAAGACUCGAAAGAGAAGACCAAAGGAAAUGAAACUGUUCCAUUUCACAAGCUGUUUUCAUUUGCAGAUUCAACUGAUAUCUUGUUGAUGACCAUAGGAUCAGUUGGUGCCAUUGGAAAUGGGUUGUGUAUGCCCAUUAUGACUAUACUCUUUGGCCAAUUGACUGAUUCUUUUGGAUGUAGCUACAAUAGCAAAGACAUAGUUCAUGCUGUUUCCAAGGUACCUGACUUGUAUAUUUAUUUCGCAAUCUUAAAAAAAAAGUGUUCUUUGAAGAUUUAUUCAUUAUUUUUUGGUAUGAUUUUAGGUCUCUCUAAGAUACAUCUACUUGGCUUUGGGGGCUGGGGUUGCAGCAUUCCUUCGUAAGUAAACAACGUACUUAAGAUUACCAAAGAGUAAAGACCAUGUAAGCAACACAUUAAACUUACUGAUGUGUCAUGUGUGUUUGUCUGUCAGAGGUAGCUUGCUGGAUAGCCACAGGGGAGCGACAGGCCGCACGAAUAAGGAGUUUGUACCUGAAAACCAUAUUAAGGCAAGAAGUAGCUUUCUUCGAUAUGGAAACAAACACUGGGGAGGUUGUUGGGAGGAUGUCUGGUGAUACUGUCUUGAUACAAGAUGCAAUGGGUGAAAAGGUACUGAACUACUGCAGAAAAAUUGGAGUACUUGUCAUCUUGGUUCACAUAAUGCUGGAUUCUAAAAGGUUAGCUUAUGCAGGUUGGAAAGUUUAUACAACUCAUAUCGACAUUCAUUGGAGGCAUUGUGAUAGCAUUCAUUAGAGGGUGGCUUCUAACACUCGUCUUGAUGUCCACUAUUCCACUUCUUGUGGCAGCCGGAGCAGUAAUGUCCAUUAUCAUAGUCAAAAUGUCUUCCAGAGGACAAAAUGCCUAUGCGAAAGCUGCGACUUUAGUUGAACAAACAAUCAGCUCAAUCAGAACUGUAUGUCAUGCUGAAAUCAUAAGUUUGAUACAUGUUUGUGAAAUAGUGGAAGCAUAUAACACCUCUUAACUUUGUCCCGCUCAGGUUGCUUCAUUUACCGGAGAGACACAAGCUAUAACCAACUAUAAGAGAUAUCUUGUAGAUGCUUACAAGUCUGGUGUUCAUGAAGGCUUGGCAGCCGGUUUAGGUUUUGGCAUGUUUAUGUUGGUUAUGUUAUCCAGUUAUGGUCUGGCUACAUGGUUUGGUGCAAAAAUGGUAUUGGAAAGAGGAUAUAGAGGGGGUGCUGUGGUCAAUGUGAUUGUCGCUGUGAUGGCUGGUUCCAUGUAAGCUUUCAUUUUGGCUUUUCAUUAAAUCUUAAGCUGAUUUUGUUCCAAGUGCUUGUAUAAUGAACAAAUUUUUACGGAUGUUGUAUGAUCGUCUCAGGUCUCUAGGCCAGGCAUCUCCCUUUGUGAGUGCAUUUGCUGCUGCUGCAGCCUUCGAUAAGCAUAUCAAAACUGACACUUUGAUAAGCAUCAAGGAUGGUUCUAUGCAUCCUUAGUUGCCUUGCACAAUACAUACCAGGACUAGUUGUCGCAGAAUAAAUACUGUAUUUCAUAGUAUGUGUUGAAUAAAAUUUUCCUUAACCUUCUCAAUACAACUUUACAAGAUAUAUAGCAGCAUCUAUGCUACUGUUACAAGUAAGAGUUAAAUGUAAUUGCAGCAAAUCAGCAAUAGGUAUUUACAACCAAGAUACAACAUAUCAAAACUGAUCCUAAAUUAUGGCAAUGCAUUAAUCUCUCUAACAACCCCUCCCCUCUCAAACUUGGCGGGCCUGCACGAAUAAGUUUGCUAGUAAGAAGCACAUGACGGUGCUUAUGGAGGGGUUCAGUGAGAAUAUCUGCCGGCUGAUCAAUUGAUGGGACAAAGUACGAUGGCUACCAAAUGCUACUUUCUCGCAAACAAAGUGGUAAUCAAGCUCAAUGUGUUUUGUGCGAGUAGGGAAGACAUAAUUGGAGGCCAUGUAUGUAGCAUUAAGAUUGUCACAAUACAGCAAGAUGAGAAAUUCAAUGUGUGCACCAAGUUCAUUGAGUAAGAAUGCUAACCAAGUUGUCUCAGCACUGGCAUGAGAGAGGGAGCGGUACUCAAACUCGGCGCUAGAACGGGCAAUGGUAGGUUGCUUUCUAAAACACCAAGAGACCAAGUUGGUGCCAAGAUAGACCAAGUAGCCAGAAGUUGGGCGACAAGAAUCAGGACAUCCUGCCCAAUCAGCAUCAUCAUAGGCAGAAACCCUCUCGGUUUCUGCAUACUGGAAAUCUGAGAGGGAUUGUUUUCUUCUUUUAAGAAGAGAGUGGCGGCGGAGGAGGAGGAAUGGCAAAAAAAAAAAUGCAUUUAGUCAAAGGCAAACCAACUUAAUUUGGAUAUCAACGCGUUAUUCCAUGGAACACAAUUAUCCAUCCCCUGUAGUACAGCUCCUUGACUAGGCGGGUCAUUUUAUUUUUCAUCCAAUGUUUGAAUGUAGUAUCAUAAUGUCAAAAAGAAAAGAAAACGGUCCUCAUUACAGCUUUAUCUAAUGGAUGAAAUUAUCUAAAAAGAUCUGAAGUUUCUUCAAGCUUUCUUCUGUUUGGUUGGAGGGGGAAAGAGAGCUCGAAAGACCCAAGAAGCCAAUAUUGCUCCUAUGAAAGGGCAAAUCCAAUAAACAUAGAACUGCUCCCAUGUGUUGUGUCGAUUGUCUACAUAUGCCCAACCAAAUGCCUGCAUUGAUCAUAUCACUAUGUAAAGGAAAACGCUCUACAGUAAGUAGACUAUUUCACAAGUAGAAGUAUAAAACAGACAAUUCCAUAUUAUUUUAUGAAAAAAAAAAAAAAACAAAUACAUACAAAGAAAGCGGAAGCAUAUCCAGGAAAAUAAGAAAAAUAACAUGAGCAAAAGAGAAUAUUGAAUACAAUUCAAUUCCAGCAAAAAGCUCAAGUGUUUUUAGCCCCUAAGAGUCGAACCAAUUUCUCCUUAUUCAUCAUUCCACCAUAAAUUGAGUCCUACAGAGGGAUCACAUUCUAUUACUAUUCAAUCAUGCAUAAUACACAAGAUAAAAACACACAUACAGGGCCAUUCCAUAAAUAUCAUUUUUAUGAGAUUUUCAUCGUAUCAAGACAUCAUGUUUAAGUCUCUAUGAGUAUAUCACUUCUGCAAAUACUGAAUUGGAUAUUUUUCUUUUUUUUUUAAAUUUCAUUGUCGUGUUUCAAAAUUUUUGAACGUGAUGAUUCUGAUUUAAUCUAGUUAGUACCGUAACAGUUCCAAAAAAGUUUGUUUGCAUGUAUUUCUCCUCCCCAAACCUAGGUUGUCUCUUUCUCUUCUAAGUUCUCACUGUCCCAAUUGGUGCUAAAUAUUAGGUCAAAAGAAAAUGUCCAGUCUUCCUACUAGAGAAUAACCAAAACAAUACACAAGUUUAUGCAUGUAUCAAAAAUGAGGGAAGCUCGACUAGCUUUGUGCUUCCCAAAUCUGAACUAAUCAAGUUUGUAGGCACAAGUAUUCUUCUAAAGAAAAAUAGCCAACAUCUAAUGAAAUCGCAAAGACACAUACAUAAAUGUGUUUUUCUCUGGAUGUAAGAAACAUUUUAUCCCAUGGAAAAAAUAAAAAAAAUUCAAGGGUUGCCAAUGGUAUUGGGAUGUAUAUCAUACUCUAAUUUUCAAUUAAAUGAACAAAAAUUACAAUAUAAUUGAACCAAAUUUACAACAUUGACAACAAAAUUACCACAUUUGUUUUACACGUUUACAUAUAAUUGAACCAAGUUACUAUAUAAGCAACAAUUUCAUCACAAACUUUUAAAAAUAUCAGACGUUGAGUAAUUACCCAUAAUAGAACUAUGAUUACCUAAAUUAUGACUCAACUUUACCGAAUUGGCAAUAAAUUUGUAGUCAUAUAAGUAAAUGUGGGUAUAACAUACAUGUAGCUAACUAAGAACAUUCCUACCUUUAAACUCAUCAGUUAAAAUAUUAACAGGAAAAAAACAACCUCAGACUUGGAAUAACUCAACCAAAUCAGACGUCGGGAUAUUUCACAACAGAAAAGAGUAACAAUUUAACUGAAGAAUUUUUUUUUAUUUCAGUACAAACACAUUAGUGACCAGAAAGAAAAAGUUUUAAGUUAGGGAAAAGUACCGCAUUACAGUAGACUCUGAGUAUUAUUAUUCUCCAUCACUAUUUAAAAUGUAGAAGUGACAAAAAAACAACAAAAUGCAGGGAUACUUUGAGGAGAAAUGAAUUGUCAGUGGAAGCAGAGCAGGGUCUAUAUCUUCUAUCUUAUUUUCCUACCAUCAUAUCUAAUAUUGGCUUAGCAUAAUUGUGUUCAUAACCCUGUUUUAAAGUCCAGAACGUAUCUUUUUCACCUUGUCCAGAUCUCCCAUAAAUCAUAUAUCGAAAACUAUCACACAAGCAGACUAACAAGCAAAAUAGCGAUGUCAAACAGAAAACAAAGAUAUUCCCAGAUUUGACACAAAAGUAGCCAAACCCAGUCUGUAUCAUGAUUCAAGUACUAUCAAUAGACAAAGGUCAUUUUAAUAAAGAAAAGAAGAAGGAAAUCGUUUGCUUACAUUAGCAGGAUUCAUUGAAGGCCCAGUAUAGACGGAACCAGCAACAACCAAUGCCACAGUAACCACUGCAAGAAGCAAUGAUUUCAAGAGUGAGCUACGGGGACCCUUGAGGAUGAUGACAAGGACAAGGAAGGUGAUAAGGAAAGUCAAGAGCCCCUCGGCAAUGGCCCCGGUGUGCAAGUCAACUUUCAAGGAAGGGCCUCCAAUCAUGUGGUUGUACUGAGCGGGAACGACCUCCUUAAUAGCCAGAGCGCCACCCACAGCACCCAAAGUCUGUUUGGAUCAUAAACAUGAUGAAAUGUCAAAGGAGAUUGAUAAGGAAGGAAGGAAGGAAAAAGGAAGGGGCACCUGAGCCGGAAAGCGGAGGGCCAUGGAGAAGAGGGUAUCGGCACCAACGCCGGCGGCGUAGAAAGAGGCAGUGCCGGUGGGGUUGAAGCUGGCCCCACCCAAGGCGUCACCGAUCAUGUUGAAGACCAAGACGAGGAAGAAGACGAGGGCAGUGGUGAUGCCGAAAGAAGCCCAGAAGCCUUGAACCCCGAUUACAUUUGCGAUCAGACUUGUCAUCAGUCCCAGCGUCGACGCGCAGAAGACCCACAUAAACGUCACCACCGCAUCUCCCACAGCAGCCUUCAUCGCGCCCAUCUCCCUCUCUCGAAUUCUCACUUGUCCUGAAAAUUCAAGAUUCAAGAUUCAAGAUUCAAGAUCACAAAGCACCCACCUUUAAUCUAAUCCCUUCAUGGUGGGCCAUCUGUCCAUUUACAAGUGUUCUUUAAUACAUCCAAUAGUGAAAGGUAAAUAGUAAUAUUUAUUUUAUACCACAGGGGGUAAAGUUCUUUUUACCUUCCGGUCGGACGACGAAACCGGUCCAGAUCUCGUGCUCUCCUCCUCAUGACCGUGCUUCACCUCGGUUCGAGCCCACGGCGGCAAAUCCAAGCGGCGAGUGCGGCGGCUCUCCUGGUUUUCCAGUUUCCGCUGAGAUUCGGCAAACCCAAACCGUCGAACUCAAGGCUGGGCUGCGGAGGCAAGAGGUCGUCGGAGCGCGCAGCGAAGCCGUUCUGGCGGCGGCGCUAGGAAGCUGGGCUGGCUUCGGGCUGCAUCGGUGGUGUAUGGUGCCGAUCUGGGUGCUGGCCUGUUGUUGUUGGAGGCGGCAGCAUGCAGUGGCACGCCGGGAGCCUGGGGCCAAUACGACAGCAAAUAUGAAAUCGGAAUUGGUCCUUAUUUCUUUAAACCCUCUUUAUACGGUGGAUUACAACGGUAAUUACACGCACAUAAGUUAUUUAAUGUUAAUAACAACAUACCUAAUGAAUUACAUAACUAAUUGAGUCGUUACGUCUAUUAAUUAAAAAUUUUUUAAUUUAUUUUUCAUCAAUUACUUUGACGAAGACACAUUUAAGGUAUUUUUUCCUCUUUGACAUGAGAAUAAUAUUAAGAGAGAAUACUAAUAAGAAUAUACAUAAUAAAUUACAUAACUAAUUAAAUCGUUAUAUUUAUUGAUUAAAAUUUUCUUAAUUUAUUUUUCAUCAAUUACUUUGAAUACACUUAAAAAAGUAUUUUUCCUCCUCAACGUGAGAGAAAGGUAGAUGUAAAUAUAGGAUCAGUGUGUCCCUCAAAAUCAAGACUCAAACCGACACCUCCUAGAUUAAACAAUCUGUUAUUAUCAUGAUGGUGAUAGGUGAGUGCGCAAGUGACGAAUCACGUCGUCGGUUGCAGCAUGAGAGGAUGAGAUUAUAAACAAGUAAACAGAUUUUUUUUUGUUUUUGGGAGAUUUUGUAUGAGAUAUUUUGUGACUAUGGGGUCUGCAUUAUUCACAACCCUCUAUAAUUCGUGUUCCCCCACGAACAUAUUCCACGUGUUAGAGAGAGUUGCUGCCUCCGGCCUCUUUCCCAUUUUGUUUCACGUUGUGGGAUGUUGCUUUGAUAAAUACUCGUCGUGUUUUCAGCAACAUAUUUCUGUGUGUUCCCGGAAAACGCGCCAAACAGGAACACAGGAGGAGGAGGAGGAGGACAAUCUAAGAGAUACAGAAAUCAUACAAAGAAUUAAAGCUCUGUUCUUUGUUUCUGGGUUCCUCUGUAUUUUCAUGGAACAUGAAGUCACCUUUUAAUCAUGUAAGUCUAUUUUCUUUCUUCUUUGUCUUUCUUCCAUGUUACAAAGUAUGCAAUUUAUGAGUGGAAAGUGAAAGCUUUCCAUGACAAAGAGAGACUUGGAAUUAUUCUUUGCUUCUUUGUGUAGUCUGGUUAUUAGACAUUGCAUUCCUAGUUGGAAGCUUCUAACACAAUCCAGAAUCCUUGUUGUUUUGCUAUUGUGGUGGAAAUGGCUUUUUGUUACUUGAGAUUGUAGCCUGCUUUUUUUGGGGUGAAGUUGCAUUUGUUACACAAACUUAAUUGAGUAAAUAAAUGAGUUUUUGGUGUUGUCAGAUAUCUCUGGGUGCAGGGCCAGGAAAUGGGAGAUCAUACUUCAUUAGGUUUCUCCCUUCAGCUUCUUUGAUAUUCUUAGCUCUUCUGCUGGGUAGCGCAUUCAUAUUAUCAGAAUUCAAUGAGGUAGACAUGUAUACAAUUCAUAUGUUCUUUGUGUUGGGGGUUAGAGAUUUUUUAACUCUAGUAUCUAAGCUUAAAUUUCAUCAAUUUUUACCAUCUCUUUGUCUAAUAUGGUUUUUUUAUUAAUUCAAUAUACUGUUGCACAGAAAUCAUCAUUUGGGAGAGUCAGAAAUAGUUUGCGUAGUUCCAAAUUAAAAUGCAAGGUUUGUUCUCGAUACGCAUGCCUUUUGCUUUGUAUAAUGUUUUCCAAGAAAACAAUCCACUGCUGUGAUAGACUGAUAGUCUGGGUUCACUACCUAUCAUUGUUUUUCUGUUUCAGAAUCAUAGAAGGCCAUAUGGAAGUGAAACAUUGCCUAGAGGUAUCGUCGCCAAGACUUCUAAUCUGGAAAUGCGGCCAUUAUGGACAUCGCCUAACAAGGUAAGGUUUCCAAUCAAUGUCUGCAUUUGUUUUUGUUAACUGAGAAUCAUAGUUAUU